rnacentral:lncRNA from 1 species
UUUACUUAACGUGAUUGUGACUAGCAACCUUCACUACUUGUGAAUAUAAGUUCAUAACGAUUAGGUGAAACUCCUUUAUAUUCUAGCGUUAAAUUCAUGCAUGAAAAUUAAGCGUGCACUCUCAACCAACAUACACAAAUCAUUUUUUAUACGAUCGGAUAAAUAAAUUGAAUUCACAACUUAUGAAUCACAACUGGAUGUAAUCAAAUCAUAUUGCAAGUAUGAACAUGGUUUCGAAUCACCCCCUAACUAAGAGGGGUUUAGUUCCUCAUACUUACAAAGCAAAGAUGCAUAAAUUUAGACAUUAAAAACAAAGAUAGAAAACACCUAGAAACGCUCCAACACUCCCAAGGCUUGGGCAUAGGCACGGCACAAGAUGUUCCUUCCCUUUCCUUCCUUGCAAGCAGCGGCACUAGAGGUUUUGGACGGUUUUGGGUGGUUUUUAUGGUGUAGAAUGGAUGGGGAAUGGUAUGGAAAGGUUUAGGGUAAGUGUGGAGGAGUGUUUGAGGG